rnacentral:rRNA from 1 species
AUUGAACGCUGGCGGCAGGCCUAACACAUGCAAGUCGAGCGAGCGGCGGACGGGUGAGUAAUGUCUGGGAAACUGCCUGAUGGAGGGGGAUAACUACUGGAAACGGUAGCUAAUACCGCAUACCAUCAGAUGUGCCCAGAUGGGAUUAGCUAGUAGGUGGGGUAACGGCCCACAUAGGCGACGAUCCCUAGCUGGUCUGAGCGGAUGACCAGCCACACUGGAACUGAGACACGGGCAACACUCCUACGGGAGGCAGCAGUGGGGAAUAUUGCACAAUGGGCUCAAGCCUGAUGCAGCCAUGCCGCGUGUGUGAAGAAGGCCUUCGGGUUGUAAAGCACUUUCAGCGGGGAGGCGUUACCCGCAGAAGAAGCACCGGCUAACUCGGUGCCAGCCGCCGCGGUAAUUC